rnacentral:rRNA from 1 species
GGGUUGUGAGGUUAAGCGACUAAGCGUACACGGUGGAUGCCCUGGCAGUCAGAGGCGAUGAAGGACGUGCUAAUCUGCGAUAAGCGUCGGUGAGGUGAUAUGAACCGUUAUAACCGGCGAUUUCCGAAUGGGGAAACCCAGUGUGUUUCGACACACUAUCAUUAACUGAAUCCAUAGGUUAAUGAGGCGAACCGGGGGAACUGAAACAUCUAAGUACCCCGAGGAAAAGAAAUCAACCGAGAUUCCCCCAGUAGCGGCGAGCGAACGGGGAGGAGCCCAGAGCCUGAAUCAGUGUGUGUGUUAGUGGAAGCGUCUGGAAAGGCGCGCGAUACAGGGUGACAGCCCCGUACACAAAAAUGCACAUAUUGUGAGCUCGAUGAGUAGGGCGGGACACGUGGUAUCCUGUCUGAAUAUGGGGGGACCAUCCUCCAAGGCUAAAUACUCCUGACUGACCGAUAGUGAACCAGUACCGUGAGGGAAAGGCGAAAAGAACCCCGGCGAGGGGAGUGAAAAAGAACCUGAAACCGUGUACGUACAAGCAGUGGGAGCCUCUUUAUGGGGUGACUGCGUACCUUUUGUAUAAUGGGUCAGCGACUUAUAUUCUGUAGCAAGGUUAACCGAAUAGGGGAGCCGAAGGGAAACCGAGUCUUAACUGGGCGUUAAGUUGCAGGGUAUAGACCCGAAACCCGGUGAUCUAGCCAUGGGCAGGUUGAAGGUUGGGUAACACUAACUGGAGGACCGAACCGACUAAUGUUGAAAAAUUAGCGGAUGACUUGUGGCUGGGGGUGAAAGGCCAAUCAAACCGGGAGAUAGCUGGUUCUCCCCGAAAGCUAUUUAGGUAGCGCCUCGUGAAUUCAUCUCCGGGGGUAGAGCACUGUUUCGGCAAGGGGGUCAUCCCGACUUACCAACCCGAUGCAAACUGCGAAUACCGGAGAAUGUUAUCACGGGAGACACACGGCGGGUGCUAACGUCCGUCGUGAAGAGGGAAACAACCCAGACCGCCAGCUAAGGUCCCAAAGUCAUGGUUAAGUGGGAAACGAUGUGGGAAGGCCCAGACAGCCAGGAUGUUGGCUUAGAAGCAGCCAUCAUUUAAAGAAAGCGUAAUAGCUCACUGGUCGAGUCGGCCUGCGCGGAAGAUGUAACGGGGCUAAACCAUGCACCGAAGCUGCGGCAGCGACACUAUGUGUUGUUGGGUAGGGGAGCGUUCUGUAAGCCUGUGAAGGUGGCCUGUGAGGGUUGCUGGAGGUAUCAGAAGUGCGAAUGCUGACAUAAGUAACGAUAAAGCGGGUGAAAAGCCCGCUCGCCGGAAGACCAAGGGUUCCUGUCCAACGUUAAUCGGGGCAGGGUGAGUCGACCCCUAAGGCGAGGCCGAAAGGCGUAGUCGAUGGGAAACAGGUUAAUAUUCCUGUACUUGGUGUUACUGCGAAGGGGGGACGGAGAAGGCUAUGUUGGCCGGGCGACGGUUGUCCCGGUUUAAGCGUGUAGGCUGGUUUUCCAGGCAAAUCCGGAAAACCAAGGCUGAGGCGUGAUGACGAGGCACUACGGUGCUGAAGCGACAAAUGCCCUGCUUCCAGGAAAAGCCUCUAAGCAUCAGGUAACAUCAAAUCGUACCCCAAACCGACACAGGUGGUCAGGUAGAGAAUACCAAGGCGCUUGAGAGAACUCGGGUGAAGGAACUAGGCAAAAUGGUGCCGUAACUUCGGGAGAAGGCACGCUGAUAUGUAGGUGAAGCGACUUGCUCGUGGAGCUGAAAUCAGUCGAAGAUACCAGCUGGCUGCAACUGUUUAUUAAAAACACAGCACUGUGCAAACACGAAAGUGGACGUAUACGGUGUGACGCCUGCCCGGUGCCGGAAGGUUAAUUGAUGGGGUUAGCGGUAACGCGAAGCUCUUGAUCGAAGCCCCGGUAAACGGCGGCCGUAACUAUAACGGUCCUAAGGUAGCGAAAUUCCUUGUCGGGUAAGUUCCGACCUGCACGAAUGGCGUAAUGAUGGCCAGGCUGUCUCCAC